rnacentral:rRNA from 1 species
AUUGAACGCUGGCGGCAGGCCUAACACAUGCAAGUCGAGCGGAUGAAGGGAGCUUGCUCCUGGAUUCAGCGGCGGACGGGUGAGUAAUGCCUAGGAAUCUGCCUGGUAGGGGGGGAUAACGUCCGGAAACGGGCGCUAAUACCGCAUACGUCCUGAGGGAGAAAGUGGGGGCUCUUCGGACCUCACGCUAUCAGAUGAGCCUAGGUCGGAUUAGCUAGUUGGUGGGGUAAAGGCCUACCAAGGCGACGAUCCGUAACUGGUCUGAGAGGAUGAUCAGUCACACUGGAACUGAGACACGGUCCAGACUCCUACGGGAGGCAGCAGUGGGGAAUAUUGGACAAUGGGCGAAAGCCUGAUCCAGCCAUGCCGCGUGUGUGAAGAAGGUCUUCGGAUUGUAAAGCACUUUAAGUUGGGAGGAAGGGCAGUAAGUUAAUACCUUGCUGUUUUGACGUUACCAACAGAAUAAGCACCGGCUAACUUCGUG